rnacentral:lncRNA from 1 species
CCAAGUGUCUAAAAUAACCGAUUCUAAAUUCUCCUAAAAUCUUUUCAAAUUUUGCUUCUGCGAAAUGUCUCAAAUCAAUAAAAAUCAAUUCUAUAUUAAUUGAAUAGAAAGAAAAGAAAAAAAAAAGAUACAUAGAUAAAAGUUAUAUCUCGCCCCAGUCUCAGUUAUGGAUAUAUGUUGCUCCUUCUUUUCAAAUGGUCGAACGUAUUCAAAUAUCAAAUUUGUGUAGGACCUUCUCCUCUAUCUCCCACUCUCCUUUCCUCUUAUUUCUUCAAAG